rnacentral:lncRNA from 1 species
ACCCCCUCGGCAGCAAGACCCUUCGCGCACGCUCUUUCGCGUCCGAACCGGCCUCGGAGACCCUGGCGUCCUCUCGGCCCGACAGGUGGAGCGCGGAGAGUGAAUUACGUGAUCGAGUUUCGGUGAUUGAGUUCCCUGUCAGGUAGGGGCGUUUUAACACCAACCGAAGGGAAAGGUGAAGGACACAAGUAGUUGAAUCAAUUGUUGUGACAUUCAGGCACUAUAGUGGUUCGGUUUAGUGCCAGUCGAGUGAUUCAUGUGUUGCAAGCGCAUGCGAUGAUAUGUAUGUAUGCAUGUGAGAAAAUAGCAAAUUAGUAAACAGUUUAAUGAAUACAUAUGUGCUAAAGGGUGUCUCUGUAAUGACAUAUACUUGAAGUGGUUACACAAACGGAAGCGAAAAAGAAAGAAGAGGCAAGCACACAUAGAAGAAAGAAUACAGACUUUUGAUUGAAAGUAAUUGAGCUGGUCUAUUCUCGAUCCCUGGAAUUAUAAAGCUCAUAUCAUAUUCUAGAAGCAGAAUCUUUUCUGUCUGGCAGUAUAUUCGGUGCACUGUAAACCCCCCCACCCCCACUUCUCCCGGGACAUCGAACCAGUGACGUCACAUUCCCGGCGAAGCACGGCGACGCCCACAGCGCUGAGACGGCAGCCUCCAUUCG